rnacentral:tRNA from 1 species
GGAGGUNAAAAUCCUCCCUAC